rnacentral:rRNA from 6 species
UCGACCUGAGGUCAGGCAAGAACACCCGCUGAACUUAAGCAUAUCAAUAAGCGGAGGAA